rnacentral:rRNA from 1 species
UACGAAGGGGGCUAGCGUUGCUCGGAAUCACUGGGCGUAAAGGGUGCGUAGGCGGGUCUUUAAGUCAGGGGUGAAAUCCUGGAGCUCAACUCCAGAACUGCCUUUGAUACUGAAGAUCUUGAGUUCGGGAGAGGUGAGUGGAACUGCGAGUGUAGAGGUGAAAUUCGUAGAUAUUCGCAAGAACACCAGUGGCGAAGGCGGCAUCCUGGACCAACACUGACGCUGAGGAGCGAAAGCCAGGGGAGCAAACGGG